rnacentral:rRNA from 1 species
CCUACGGGAGGCAGCAGUAGGGAAUAUUGGGCAAUGGACGCAAGUCUGACCCAGCCAUGCCGCGUGCAGGAUGAAGGCGUUAUGCGUUGUAAACUGCUUUUAUACAGGAAGAAACGACUCUUGCGAGAGGCAUUGACGGUACUGUAUGAAUAAGCACCGGCUAACUCCGUGCCAGCAGCCGCGGUAAUACGGAGGGUGCAAGCGUUGUCCGGAUUUAUUGGGUUUAAAGGGUGCGCAGGUGGUUUAUUAAGUCAGUGGUGAAAGACGGUCGCUCAACGAUUGCAGUGCCAUUGAAACUGGUAGACUUGAGUAAAGUAGAGGUGGGCGGAAUUGAUAGUGUAGCGGUGAAAUGCAUAGAUAUUAUCAAGAACUCCAAUUGCGUAGGCAGCUCACUUGGCUUUUACUGACACUCAUGCACGAAAGUGUGGGUAUCAAACAGGAUUAGAUACCCUGGUAGUCCACGCCCUAAACGAUGUCAACUGGUUGUUGGGUCUUAACUGACUCAGUAACGAAGCUAACGCGUGAAGUUGACCGCCUGGGGAGUACGGCCGCAAGGUUGAAACUCAAAGGAAUUGACGG